rnacentral:rRNA from 1 species
AAUAUUGCACAAUGGGCGAAAGCCUGAUGCAGCGACGCCGCGUGAGGGAUGACGGCCUUCGGGUUGUAAACCUCUUUCAGUAGGGAAGAAGCGAAAGUGACGGUACCUGCAGAAGAAGCACCGGCUAACUACGUGCCAGCAGCCGCGGUAAUACGUAGGGUGCGAGCGUUAUCCGGAAUUAUUGGGCGUAAAGAGCUCGUAGGCGGUUUGUCGCGUCUGUCGUGAAAGUCCGGGGCUUAACCCCGGAUCUGCGGUGGGUACGGGCAGACUAGAGUGCAGUAGGGGAGACUGGAAUUUCCUGGUGUAGCGGUGGAAUGCGCAGAUAUCAGGAGGAACACCCGAUGGCGAAGGCAGGUCUCUGGGCUGUAACUGACGCUGAGGAGCGAAAGCAUGGGGAGCGAACAGGAUUAGAUACCCUGGUAGUCCAUGCCGUAAACGUUGGGCACUAGGUGUGGGGACCAUUCCACGGUUUCCGCGCCGCAGCUAACGCAUUAAGUGCCCCGCCUGGGGAGUACGGCCGCAAGGCUAAAACUCAAAGGAAUUGACGGGGGCCCGCACAAGCGGCGGAGCAUGCGGAUUAAUUCGAUGCAACGCGAAGAACCUUACCAAGGCUUGACAUGUUCUCGAUCGCCGUAGAGAUACGGUUUCCCCUUUGGGGCGGGUUCACAGGUGGUGCAUGGUUGUCGUCAGCUCGUGUCGUGAGAUGUUGGGUUAAGUCCCGCAACGAGCGCAACCCUCGUUCCAUGU